CACAGGGGUGAUGUGCUCUCUUUUCUUGGUCAUAGUUAAAAGUCUAGCAGUGAUAGUGAUAAAGGCAUGGAUUAGUUUUUGUACCGUAUUUUCCGGACUAUAAGUCGCUCCAGAGUAUAAGUUGCACUAGACUAUAAGUCACAUUGAUUUCAAAAUUUAUUUCACAAAAUCCAAGACCAAGAACAGACAGAGACUAUGUAACUGGACACAUAGAGGACAAAAACAUGGAGAAUUCUACCUGGAAUGUUAAUGAAGACGAAGGAGUGAAGGGCGACGAAGCUGAGGAGAGCCGGGCGAUAACAAAGGCGGCCAAGUAGGAGGGCCCGACGGUAAUUUUAAAGCAAUUUACAAAAGAUUCACUGAACGUAAAUGCUGAUGUGGUACAUGAAAAUGUAGCAAAAAAUGUGGAGAAUGCAAUGCAAUCAAGCACUUUGGGCGAUGUGAAGGCACAGGCCGGCAGCAGAGCAAAUGCUCGGGAGGCUACCUCCGAGAG